rnacentral:rRNA from 1 species
UACGGAGGGUGCGAGCGUUGUCCGGAAUCACUGGGCGUAAAGGGCGCGUAGGCGGCCUUCUAAGUCGGACGUGAAAUCCCUCGGCUUAACCGAGGAACUGCGUCCGAUACUGAAAGGCUUGAAUCCGGGAGAGGGAUGUGGAAUUCCAGGUGUAGCGGUGAAAUGCGUAGAUAUCUGGAGGAACACCGGUGGCGAAGGCGGCAUCCUGGACCGGCAUUGACGCUGAGGCGCGAAAGCUAGGGGAGCAAACGGG